UACGUAGGGGGCUAGCGUUGUCCGGAUUUAUUGGGCGUAAAGAGCGUGUAGGCGGCCAGGUAGGUCUGCUAUGAAAAACUCGAGGCUCAACCUCGAGACGUCGGCGGAAACCAUCUGGCUAGAGUCCGGAAGAGGAGAGUGGAAUUCCUGGUGUAGCGGUGAAAUGCGCAGAUAUCAGGAAGAACACCCGUGGCGAAGGCGGCUCUCUGGGACGGUACUGACGCUGAGACGCGAAAGCGUGGGGAGCGAACGG
rnacentral:rRNA from 1 species